UGGGGGGUGGUGUAAUCGGCAGCACGCGGGGUUUUGGUCCCCGAAGAAUGGGUUCGAGCCCUAUCCCCCCAG
rnacentral:tRNA from 2 species